rnacentral:hammerhead_ribozyme from 1 species
AUCUAGCCGACGAGUUCCAAAUAAAAUGAAACGCGCGUCCUGAAU